rnacentral:rRNA from 1 species
UACGUAGGGCGCGAGCGUUGUCCGGAUUUAUUGGGCGUAAAGAGCUCGUAGGCGGCUUGUCGCGUCGUUCGUGAAAACCCACAGCUCAACUGUGGGCUUGCGGUCGAUACGGGCAGGCUGGAGUUCGGUAGGGGAGACUGGAAUUCCUGGUGUAGCGGUGAAAUGCGCAGAUAUCAGGAGGAACACCGGUGGCGAAGGCGGGUCUCUGGACCGAUACUGACGCUGAGGAGCGAAAGCGUGGGGAGCGAACAGG